rnacentral:lncRNA from 1 species
UAUUCUGCUUUUCUUUAGCCAGUCCUCAUUUUAUUUAAAAGUGGAAUGCAGGUAACGUGUGGAACCCUCGGGCUUUCAACAGCAACUGUAAAACUUGCUGACGCUGAUGGCAAAGAGCAUGUCGCUUGUUCUAUGGGAACUGGGCCUGUCGAUUCAGCAUACAAGGCAGUCAAUCUUAUUGUAAAGGUACUUUUUUAUACAACUGAGGCUCUCAUUUACAUAUAAUUCACCUGUCCAUUAUCGGUUAUGUGAAACUUUUUUCCCCCUACAGGAACCAGCGACGCUGCUUGAGUACUCGAUGAAUGCAGUAACACAAGGCAUCGAUGCUAUCGCAACCACACGAGUCCUCAUCCGCGG